UACGUAGGGUGCAAGCGUUGUCCGGAAUUAUUGGGCGUAAAGAGCUCGUAGGCGGUUUGUCGCGUCUGCUGUGAAAACUCAGGGCUUAACUCUGAGCUUGCAGUGGGUACGGGCAGACUAGAGGUAGGUAGGGGAGAAUGGAAUUCCCGGUGUAGCGGUGAAAUGCGCAGAUAUCAGGAAGAACACCCGUGGCGAAGGCGGCUCUCUGGGACGGUACUGACGCUGAGACGCGAAAGCGUGGGGAGCGAACAGG
rnacentral:rRNA from 1 species